GCGGCGAGUGAUGCGGCAAGACGCUCUAAUUUGAGGUGUGUCUCUCUGGCGUCCGAGUGUAAUUUGAAGAAGGUAUCUUUGGGCCCGGCUCUUGUCUAUGUUCCUUGGAACAGGACGUCACAGAGGGUGAGAAUCCCGUGCGAUGAGAUGACCCGGGUCUGUGUAAAGUUCCUUCGACGAGUCGAGUUGUUUGGGAAUGCAGCUCUAAGUGGGUGGUAAAUUCCAUCUAAAGCUAAAUAUUGGCGAGAGACCGAUAGCGAACAAGUACAGUGAUGGAAAGAUGAAAAGAACUUUGAAAAGAGAGUGAAAAAGUACGUGAAAUUGUUGAAAGGGAAGGGCUUGAGAUCAGACUUGGUAUUUUGCAUGCUGCUCUCUCGGGGGCGGCCGCUGCGGUUUACCGGGCCAGCAUCGGUUUGGAGCGGCAGGAUAAUGGCGGAGGAAUGUGGCACGGCUUCUGCUGUGUGUUAUAGCCUCUGACGAUACUGCCAGCCUAGACCGAGGACUGCGGUUUUUUUACCUAGGAUGUUGGCAUAAUGAUCUUAAGUCGCCCGUCUUGAAACACGGACCAAGGAGUCUAACGUCUAUGCGAGUGUUUGGGUGUAAAACCCGUACGCGUAAUGAAAGUGAACGAAGGUGGGGGCCCAUUAGGGUGCACCAUCGACCGAUCCUGAUGUGUUCGGAUGGAUUUGAGUAAGAGCAUAGCUGUUGGGACCCGAAAGAUGGUGAACUAUGCCUGAAUAGGGUGAAGCCAGAGGAAACUCUGGUGGAGGCUCGUAGCGGUUCUGACGUGCAAAUCGAUCGUCGAAUUUGGGUAUAGG
rnacentral:rRNA from 1 species